GAAAUAAGUCUGAAUUAAAGCCGCUAACUUUAUAAUAAAUGAUUAAAACCAUUUUUAUUUCU
rnacentral:tRNA from 1 species